ACUUCUUUCCUUUAGAAAGCAUAUCAAUGUAAUAUCUAUGAAAGUGCCUCAUGUGAUUAGAUCCUUAUUUGUUUAACAGUUUAACAAACAAAAAUACAAAGGCCUGGGAAAUGUCUUCUGUGACAAAAUAUUGAUUCACUAUAUUGGUAUUUUUAGAAGAAUAUUCUAUUGUAAUGCUACUUUCAUAUCUUUUUAAAAGUUGCAUUCAGGUAAUCCUCGACUAAUAACCAUUCAUUUAGUGAUUAUUCUAAGUUACAGUGGUACAGAAAAAGUGACUGUUAGGACUGUUUUUCACAGUUAUGACCAUAGCAUCAUCCCCAUAGUCAUGUGAUCAGAAUUGGGCACUUGGCAAUUAGCAUGUAUUUAUGAUAGCUGCAGCUUCUUGGUGUCAUGCGAGCACCAUUUGUAACAGUGGUGGUUUGGACCGGUUCUAUAGAACCGAUAGUAAAACCGGAGGGAGACUCCGCCCACUGACCCUGAUGUCAUCAGUACGCUUCUGCGCAUGCGUGGCCCCGUUGCAAACCGAUAGUAAAAAAAUAGCCCACCCUUCUUGCUCCAACAGAAGGGACAUUGCUGCCCAUCUUAUAUUCAAAGAACUUUGUCUGGCAGGAUCCAGGAAAAGACCCUUUUCUGCAAUGGCUCCUGCUCUCAGGAACAUUGUGCUGAUGGAGGUAUUCAUCUAAAUCUGAGGGAGAAGUUUUACAGACAAGGACUUAUAUACCCGGAGGAAGGAGUCAAAGGUAGUCUCACAUCCCUUUUCAAAAAUAGCUGAGGUGUUUCCCUCUGAGGAUCCAGGUUUGUUAAUUCAGUGAAAAUUUCGGGCCAGUCGUGAACAUGUUGGAGAGGCUUAUGGUACGGCUUCAGCUGGAGACCUAUACAACAACAGCUCUAUUUAAAGGAUUUUUCCAGCCUCUACAAUCAUUCAAACUGAAGCUUAAAUGCAGCGGUGAAAUCCACUUACCUUCGCUACCAGUUUGGGAAUGGGAGUGUGUGCGCAAUUCUUCCGCACAUGUGCAGAACCUUCUGCACAUGCACAGAUGAUAUUCAACGGUGUUCUUCCUUGUUGAUCAGUGAUGUGCUACAAACAGAAAUAAGACAACUUAAAAAUACAGUUUUGCAAAUAUAAAAUCAAAUUGUACUUUCCUUUUAGUGAGACCUGAGUUUAUCUACCCCAGUAAUUUUUACAUAUAUUUUUACACCAAUGUUAUUUAAUAAUUUUUAAAAACUUGUUGAAAUCUCACAAAAUAUUCUCAAAAACUAAAUUUUCAUGAGAUUUUG